rnacentral:antisense_RNA from 1 species
UUAAUUUCAGUUCCUUUUUAUUUAUCCUGCUUAGAAAUGGCAAAAGAACGUCAGAUGAGGAAUAUGGAGGAGGAGAAACAAGAAGUGGGGAGAAGGGAGAUAAUUUUUCUUUUCUUUUUUUUUUGAAACACAGUCUUACUCUGUCGCCCAG